rnacentral:tRNA from 1 species
UGGCUCAGUGGUAGAGUGCUUGCCUUUCAUGCAUGAGACCCUGGGUUCGAUUCCUCAG